AAGAGCUGCCAAACCCCAAAGCCCGCGGGCAUCCCGCCGGCUGAGCGAGAUCUCUGAACCCCAGCUCGGUCCCGAUUUGCGCCCGUUCCGAUUCGCUUCUCCAGUGCCCGCAUGCAUGGGUCAACCUACGCACAGAAGUCUCUCCUCAGAAGACUUGGUGCUCCAGACCUUUCACCAGCUUUGUUGUCCCUCUUUGGAAACACUCCAGCCAACGAUUCUGCAAAUCUCUGCUGAAUUUUUAGAGGCAUGUAGUUGGUAAGGGAUAAAAUUGAGUGUGAUGUUUUAAUAUACUCCCUAAAUACAGACACAAAUAAUUCUAAUAAUUAGAAUAUUAAAAUAACAAUCUAAAGUGUGUAAAAUAAACCUGGAAAUGGUUAGGUAAAAAUCAAGCAGAAAAGGUGUUUCAGAUGAGUGUGUGUGAGGUAGCCACAUUUUGCUAGCACCAGCCUCUUGCAGGCCAAUCCACAGAAGUCUCUUUUGGCUCAAGUUCUGACUUUGACAUCUUCCACGCAGAACUCCAACCCCAUCCCUGCUAAGGAAAUGAAGCUCCAAGGGGUGCACCUUUUUCAUUCCAGCUCUGUGCAGGCUCUGUGACUCACACACUGCAAUGAAGGCUCUCCGUGCCAUCUGGUCUAAAGAUCCCAGCUCCUCUCCAGCAGAGGGGACAGAGCUGGCCAGGACUGCAGGUCAAGCAGGGCCAAACCACUCGUACCCACGCCUAUCUCAGCAGCACUGCUCGCCCUCCCCACUGCACCUCACAUUCCUGCCUCUCACAGCUACUCAGACAUGAUUUCACUAGAGAAGCACGGCAUGAAUUUCUCACAACAGGUUAUUAAUUACAGGACAGACUUUCUGGUUUAUCAGCAGAGAGUUGAUGGUUCCCCCAGAGAGGGCAGAAAUAUGGGGGGCUUUCUGAGCACAGGUUCAAGCUCCAGAGUGUCGACAGUUGGAGAUAACUGAGUCAUGCACAGGAGCAUUGGCAAGGAGCAGCAGUUCCCAGUCCUGCAUAGACAGAGCUGUCAGAAAAAGGAAGAGAAGUUGAGAUCCACAGGAUCUGGAGCCAAUGGCACGGACAGCUGGAGCUCUGCACCUCUUCCCUGGUUCCCACUACUUUUGGUGGCCUAAGCAGAGCAUGCUGCAUUUGACUAAGGCCACAUGCAGUUCCCUAGAAGUGAUCACAGCAAGGGUUCUGAUGCCUCAGGUUUUGGGGUUUUUUUUAUUUUUCAGAUUCUGUACUGCUUUAGUGUAUAGUUCUGAGCUUAAUAUUAAGGGAUAGUAAGCUGUCUUCACAGAGGAGGGAGACAAAACAAUUCCUUCUCUACCUUGGGACCAAGGACAACUGAUCCAAACCUCAGACCCAAGAGCAUAAACAAUGUGGACUGAAGAGAGAAAAACAAGAAGGAUGGGACUGCAUGGGCUGCAGCUGUAAUUGGACAAUUAACUCCAAUGUGCUAAUGGACCUGAACUUAUAAAAGUGAGAGACCUUGUGACUGGUUGUCCAUUUUGUGACCAUUUUGGGUUCAUCUGGGGUGUAGUCCUAGCUGGGCUCUUGUGCUGCUCAAGGUGGAUCCAUUGAGGCCUUUUAAUAAA